rnacentral:tRNA from 1 species
GAGGGUAUAGCUCAUUGGUAGAGUGGAUGCUUAGCAUGCAGAAGGUCCUGGGUUCAAUUUCCAGUGCCUCUA